AGGAAUGUGUCCAGAGGUGGGGGACAACCUUGGGAAACUGAGGCUAAUACCGCAUAUGAGCUGAGGCUCAAAGCAGCGAUGCGCCUUUGGAGUAGCCUGCGUCCGAUUAGCUAGUUGGUGGGGUAAAGGCCUACCAAGGCGACGAUCGGUAGCUGGUCUGAGAGGACGACCAGCCACACUGGGACUGAGACACGGCCCAGACUCCUACGGGAGGCAGCUGUGGGGAAUAUUGGAUAAUGGGCGCAAGCCUGAUCCAGCAAUGCCGCGUGUGUGAAGAAGGUCUUCGGAUCGUAAAGCACUUUCGACGGGGACGAUGAUGACGGUACCCGUAGAAGAAGCCCCGGCUAACUUCGUGCCAGCAGCCGCGGUAAUACGAAGGGGGCUAGCGUUACUCGGAAUUACUGGGCGUAAAGGGCGCGUAGGCGGCGCUCCAAGUUAGGCGUGAAAGUCCUGGGCUCAACCUGGGAACUGCGCUUAAGACUGGAGUGCUUGAGGAUGGAAGAGGGUCGUGGAAUUCCCAGU
rnacentral:rRNA from 1 species